rnacentral:lncRNA from 1 species
GUGUAUGUGUGUGAGUGUGUGCGUGUUAUGACGUCGAAUUUCCUAAUUCACUCAAAGCGCUAAGAACGUAAGAAAACCAAAUGACGUCAUAGUUUGCCCCCACCAUUCAUCUCCAUUUGAUAAGUACAAUAUUCGUUUUCGUUAGUGUAUUAAACAUUAUAACAGUUAUUUUUGCGCAUUUUGUAUUUGAAUCUCUUCAAUCAAAUUAUUUUGUUAUAUUGUUUUAUCAUAUUCGAUAUGCAGUUCGAAUUCGAUGCUAUUUAAUUUGAUGUCUUCGUGUCUUACCUAUAACUCUUGAUGAUCUCUUUCAAGAUGCUACAUUAUCCAGUGUAGUGUUGUUUUAGAACGAAAUAGCAGAAAGGAAAGAAAAAAACAACGCAAGAGAAAGUUCAAAUCCGUCGAGGUCAACUUUAUCCUCCAUCUCGUCGGCGUCAAUAGAAUAAAGUGCUAGCGAAUAUUGGAGUUAAUUUAAUCGACUAACCUCGUCCCACCAACUUUUAGGCUUUAUACGAAAUAACUAUUGUAAGGGUUGUGAAUUAUAAGAAUAGUUAGAGCGCCGAAAGAAAUACCUUGCGGUAUUCCUUUCGGCUCUUUCUUUUCGCCGAGGUCAACUUUGCAUAUUUUUUCUUUUCAAGGUCAAGUAAAUAAAGUAUCAGCCAUAAUACUGGAGCCAACAGUAUUGACUGAUCUCCUUCCUUCGAAAUUACUGGCCUUAUACCUAAAGUAGAAACUAAGGAGAUGAGCUGGAAGAAUCGUCAGAGCAUCGGAAAAUAUACUUUGUGAUAUUUGUUCCCACUCUGUAUAUCCUACGUUCAGAUUUUGCCCAGUGCAGUGGUUCUUAGCCUGGGUGACAGCGUUCCUUUAAGAGCAUUGUGAGCUUACAAAGAGUGGGAAAAUGUCAUGGCAGAGCUAUGUUGGCGCUGAUGGGAUUGAAAAACAGCCGUAACAAUACUUUGAACACACCCUACUAAACAUUAAUUGUCACACUCUACUAAACAUUAUUUGAUUGGUAUGCAGAAUGCAGUCGGGAUGUGAUGACAGUUUGGAAGCUAUGCAAUAAAGUUUUCUGUUGGAUUAGGCAAAAACACUACAAAAACUUAUGAACUGCUCCAGACUGCUUAUGGAUUAACUUGUAUGAGCCGAGCAUGUUUUUCGCUAGCUCAAGUGGAUCAUUAUGACUUCCACCUGGAAGUUCAUGACGAUCCUCUUUUUCGACAAUAAGGUCAUCAGCUACAUCUACUGGGUUCCAUAUAACUAGACAGUCAACAAAAAUACCUUGUGGAGGUUUUGAGGGAGUUCAGGAAGAGAUUUCAUCGCCAAAAGCCAGAGUAACUACACGACGACAAUGCACCAGUCCACCAUUCAAUCCUGGGUAUCAAAACAAACUGUCCUUCACUCUUUCCACAGUCCAGCUCUUUCUCCCUGUGAUUUUUGGCUGUUCCGCAAGCUGAAAAUGAUGACGGCUGCUGUGACCAGCGUUCUGGACACUUUUAUUUUGGAAGACUUCCAUGGGGCCUUUUUGGAGAAGCUGGAGCGCUACAAGAAGUGCUUUGAAGUCAAAGGAUCCUACUUUGAAGAAGAUUAGAGUUUUGUACUUGGUUGAAAUUAAUAAGCGUUGCUCCUGAAAAUUUCUCAAAACUUUUGGAAUGCACCUUGUAUAAUUCCACGCUUUCUGCAUGAAUUUCCAUGAAAAUUCAACAUAGCUAUGUCGUUAAGGCGUUCGCUUUGCAACCAUAUGGUUUCGGUUUCAGUUCCACGGUGUGGUAGUUUGGAUCUUGGUGCUAUAGAUUUCUAAUAAAAAUUAAAUAUGAAAUAAUGUGCCGUUUUAGAAUAAUUAGAGAAGUUAAUUCAGUACCCAAUAACUUUUCUUAACUUCCCAAAGUAAGGGAUAAGAGUUAUUUGGUAGGUCAAGGUGUAGUUUGUGUUAGUAAUAGGAAAGGUAAGAGACGGAAGGAGAGAGAUCACACCUAUAUAUGAUACUUUAAAAUGUCCAGAGUUAGUAACUAUUAAAAUUGAAAUUAUAUUUGGUCUCAAAUGGAAAAUCAGUCUUUGUGAGGUAAUCUUGGUUGGGUGAAGUAUGCAAGGAACGUGAAUGGUUAUCAGAUAUAGUAAAGUAGGAAACGUAAAGAAAUGGGUUGGUGAAAAAUAGGAGAGUUGAGGGAACGAAACCAAAAGGACUGAAGAAGAGAGUUAACAUUUUCCAAUAAAACUAUCUUGAUACAUCAAGCAUCACUCAAAAAGAUAAUGAGAAUAGUCAUCCCUUUCUAAGAAUCUAAACAUUUCAGUUUACUACAAUGAACUUGGGAGAAGUGAAUAAAUUAAUCUAAGAUUUUACCUUUAUAUGAGCAAAGAAACGACCAGCUAAAUCUGAUGAACACAGAAAAUAACGAGUCGUAAACUCUGAGAUACACAGUGU